AUGCCUGCGCCCAGGCCAGCGCUGUGGAUGAGGGCUGUAGACUGCCCCAGUCCCAAGUACAAGUCCCCGGGCGUGUCAGCUGCACAGUCUGAGCCUAUAGCUGCUGUGGUCUGUUACAGUUUCCUCCCACCUCCUUUAUUGUCGACAUGAACACCUAACUGGAGCUCUCCCCUCCUGGCGAAUUCCCGGCAUGCAACCCGGGUCGUAACCACAGGCGUGGGGCUCCAGGACUUACGCACUUUGCGUGACUGAAACGUGCCUGUGGGCUCCCACCCCUGCUUGCCUUAGUACCGCUCUUCCUGUCUGCUUCCCUGAGCGUGGUUAGAGUCCUCGUCUGCGAGGUCUCUUCAUGCAGCAGACUGUACAGUACUCCACCGCGUGGGCAGCUGACGUCGGGGGACAUUUGGGCAGUGCUGCUACGAACACGGAGUGCAGGGGUCCCUGCACUGAGAGCGUGAAGCGAGAGCAGCCGAGGAGACAGAGCUGAACACCGUCACCCAGUCUCCAGAGCCAGCAAGACAUGGGCCCCCUUCCCCCGGCCCUGAGUCCACUCAUUUAACUGGAAGACGUGCAGGGGUAAGUUGGAGCCGGGGCCUUUGUGGGGUGGGGGGCGGUCUGGGGAGGAGGCUGCCACAUGAGGGCCGACGGGCUGGGGCCACCUGCCCUCGGCCAAGCUGCGGGGACACAGGGAAACCGCCAGGCGGCUGGUGUUGUGUCCGAGUGAGGAGCAUGGUGUGGAACGUGGGAGCAGGCAGCCUCACGAUGCAUGCGCGUGGUUACCCGUCCCGGGAUCUGUCCCGGGCCCCACUGGCCCUGGGGAGCCCAGGCAGAGCUGAGGCAGCAGGAAAUGCCAGCACCCUCCACUGGCCCCCAUUGGUCCUUCUGCCCUGGGGACCAGGCCUGGGCUGCACAGGGAGCCUCAGGGUGGGGCAGUCAGGUGGGAGGAGCAGAGGCCCAUGGUGGCGAUUGUGUGUUUGGUGGUCGUGCAAAGCUCAGGGUCUGGAGCUGGAGCGGUCCUGCACCUGGCAGCCCCUCUGGGGGGCAGCAGCAGGCUCUGGGGAGAGCCAGGCAGAGCUAGCCUGGGGGAAAGCGCGGAGCAGAGCAGCUGGGCACGGCAGGUGCCUGGCGCGGGAAGGUGCAGGGGGCAGUGUGCCAGCCCUGGGGUGGCUCUGGGAGACUUCUCUGGCACCUUUGUGGGCUCAGCCACAUCUUGCUCUGUGUCCCUGAGCCCUUCAUAUGGGCCUCUGUCACUGCCUGGCCCGGCCCCGCUGGCGUUACAGAGGCAUUGAACCUGGCCAUCCACGCCGCACAUGCCCUGUUACACAAGAGCCAGGGCCCUGGGCGGCAUCCCAUCCAGCCUUCCCAGGUGGCACCGCCAGCCCUCUGCACAGACGAAAAGACCUAGAGCCAGGGAGAAGCAGCUCCCCGGCCAGGACACCCCUGGCAGUGCGAGGGCAGCUGCACCUGCCGGCACGCACCCUGCAGGUCGGCUGGCCGUGGGCCUCUCUCCCUGCCCUCUCGCUUCUCUGGAGGUUGGUUUAUCACCCAGGCACGUGGGGGCCAGCCAGACUGUUUCCCACCCCGGCACAGAAUCGGCCCGCAUUUACUGAAUGCCGUCUCCUGUAUAGUAAAUGAUUGACAUCCUGGGGCCCAAGUGUGAGCGUCGAGACCCAGCAGCUCCUGGCAGGUGGGGGGAGGUUGAGGAGGCCACAGGGAGCCAUCCCCGGGGGAGGCGGUGGCACGUCCCGCUCCCGAGGUGGGUGGAGGGGCCACCCGUGCCGGUCAGAAGCGUGCAGCUGGCAACCAGGCCGUGGCAUUUCCCGUGGGCUUCGGCCUGUUCUGUUAUGUAAGUGCCGAGAUGCGCCGUCUUCCCCCCUCCCCCAGGGCACUUGAAACCGGGCUCAGGGCUCAGCUCUGCUUUCGUGUGCAGGGGCUUCGUGAGCACCUGCUCCGACUCCUGAUAACCCCCAGGUGCCCUUGGGCCUGGAACAAGAGAGACCCUGGCCUGGAUGCUGAGCGGGCCGGAGAGCACCUGAAUCAGGAAGAGGCUUCGGAGCAGGAAGGGCCCUGGAAGAGAGCAUGGGAGGCGGCAGGGUAGAGAGAACAGAGGCCUGGGACCCUCGGGAAGGCUCCGCUCCGGCGGCUGUGAGCAGCAGCCAGGAGGGCAGAGCUGCUAGGGGAGGGUGCGCAGGGCCCCAGGCAGGCCGUGUGGGCAGAGGAUCUGGGCUGUGACCGACGGGCAGUGGAGACGCCCUGGAGGGGCCAGCGGUCGGGUGGGUGCCUGAGCGGCCGCGCCUGUGCAGCCAGGAGAGGACGGGAACAGGGCCGGCCCCCGGCUCUAGGCCUGGGCUGCUGGGUGGGCGGAAUCAGGGCCCCGGGCUCCAAAUGGUGACCUCCCUGCCGCGGAAGCAGCUCUGUCCAAGGCAGCCCUGAGUUUCUCUCGGGGCAGUGUGGAGGGCUUGGCCGGACAGCCAGGAGGAGCCACUGGCCCUGACCGAGAGCCCGUGACACGCCUGGCUGCGCUAUCCCGGUUCCCCAGGAGCGGAAACCAGGGCACGGAGUGGCUGUGUCACGUGGCCGGGCCACUCAGCUGGGAGGUAGCAACCGGGGCUGUGUGGCUGCGCACGGAUGCCCUCCGUCCCUGCCGGCUGAGCGAGUGUACCAGACAGCAGGGGUGGAGACAGCGCAGCGGGCACUGAACUCAAAGCGCUUUAGCGACAGGAGUCCCUUCGUCCCCACAGCCUGCCUGUGGGGUGGGCAAACCAACUGUCCCAUUUUACAGGGGAGGGGUGCGAGCACUGAGCGUUAACCCAGGCUGGAUUUGAACCCCAGGGCAGUCUGGCUCUGCGCUCCAGGCUUACAGCAAAAUGCAGUGAAAGUGGAGGAAGUGGCAGCUGGUGGCAGCCAGGGUCCCUCUGGGCUCUGUCUGCAUGUCCAAGCCGGGAAGCCACCAGGCCUGAGCAGCCUCCUGUAUCCUGGGGAGGGGCCCGUGGGUCGGGGACAGCCCUCUGGGAGCUGUGGGAGACCUCAGAGACUGAACUCGUCCUCCUUGGAAAGAGGGGGCCUCCAUGUCGUCACGGGCAGAGCACUGCCAGCCCCACUCCCAGUGCGCCACCCGCGCUCUCCGCGGCUGCCCGGUUCCCUGGAGGAGUGGGCCGAGGACGGGCCUCGAGUGCCAGAGUCAAAUGCCCGGGCUCUGAGCCUGGGCCCCCGUGUCUCCCCAGCUCUGUGACGGUCAGGCAGCGAGCCCACGGGCCCACGGCAGCCUGCCUCCCCCUCUCUGCCGCCCUCUGCCCCUCGGCCGUGGCAUACAGUAGGCGCUCAGCACUUGCAGUGGGUGGCAGGGCAGGGCGUCGGCUGCAGGAAGCUGAGGGUUGGAGGCGGGGCCAGGAGCAGAAGCAGACGUUUUGAAGAGCGUCUGCGAAAUGGAAUUGAAAGGUUGCGGAUACUUCUGCGCAGGAGGGGCGCGGAACCCUCGCGUGCCUUCUCCCGAGCGCCACCACCGGCAUGUCUGUUGGUCCAUGUUCUAGAUCUUUCUGCAGUGUCCUCAUCCAGUUACAAGUUUGCGCCUCCCGUGGGGUGGGGGUGGGAGUCAUGGGGCUGGAGCGCCGGCCAUCACCACCCAGCCACGGGCUCAUGGGAGCCCCCGGCACCAGCGUCCCCACACUGGCUCCGUCCAGAGGUUCUCUCUGUGUAGAUCUGGACCCAGACCCGAGCCGGGUUUCACGGAGUGGAAAGCUGGGGGCCGCGGGAGUCCCCAGGGUGGGUGCAGUCCGUGCCAGCCAUCCGGCCGUCCUGCACCAUGACGUCUCAGCACCAUGACAAGUGAGCAGCAUCUCACAGAUGGGAGGAACAGGGGCGCGUCCUGGACAACCGAGGUGUUUCAAAUAAACACGCAGAGGACACGUUCAGGCCCCGAGUGAGGGAGCCAGCAAGGACGGGCCUCGGGCCGAGAGGCAGGUGGGUAGGGGACUGAGAGGCAGGUGGGUAGGGGACUCUGUUACCUCUUUUCCCUUUAGUCCAGAGAGACUUCCUGGAGGAGGCGAGAUUCUGGGCCCUUUGGCCCAGGCUCAUGCCAGCCGUUCCCCCCACGUGGGUUGUUUCUUUGAAGCCGCCUUCCUGGGCUGGGCCAGGCGCGUGUGGCCAUGCUCCCGCUGCGUUCCCAGGGCCAACCGGUGGUACAGGGCGUCCUCGGAACAAAAGCACUUCCAGGUAAGCAGGGCCCAAGCCAGGGUGCCGCUGAUAGGAUCAGGAGCCUCACGCUCACAUGAGCGGCGUCCCAGGAGGAGGCCAGGGGCUCGGAGAAAUGCCCGUCACCCACGUGGCUCUGGCAGAGGCCGCUGCCCCAUCAGCCACGGCGCCGGGGAGCCCCAGAUGCGCUCCUCAGCCCCUCCCCACCCGGCAUCCUCCUCGUUGCUCCCCCGGCCAGAAAGGGAGGCGCCGUGGCCACCUCGUGGGGUGCGACUUCGGGCCGUGGCUGUUGCUGCUGGAACUGAGAGGUCGUGGGAGGUUUGUGCGCUGUCCGGGGGCCCAGCGAGAACCCUGCGGGAUGCACUGCCGGCUCCAGCCCAGGUAUGGGAGGCUGGGGCCCUGCCGUGGUCCCCUCGGGCCGGCAUCUGCAGGGCAG